rnacentral:rRNA from 1 species
CCUACGGGCGGCAGCAGUGGGGAAUAUUGGACAAUGGGGGGAACCCCGCUCCAGCCAUGCCGCGUGUGUGAAGAAGGCCCUCGGGUUGUAAAGCACUUUCAGUGAGGAAGAACGCCUGGUGGUUAAUACCCAUCAGGAAAGACAUCACUCACAGAAGAAGCACCGGCUAACUCCGUGCCAGCAGCCGCGGUAAUACGGAGGGUGCGAGCGUUAAUCGGAAUUACUGGGCGUAAAGCGCGCGUAGGUGGCUUGAUAAGCCGGUUGUGAAAGCCCCGGGCUCAACCUGGGAACGGCAUCCGGAACUGUCAAGCUAGAGUGCAGGAGAGGAAGGUAGAAUUCCCGGUGUAGCGGUGAAAUGCGUAGAGAUCGGGAGGAAUACCAGUGGCGAAGGCGGCCUUCUGGACUGACACUGACACUGAGGUGCGAAAGCGUGGGUAGCAAACAGGAUUAGAUACCCUUGUAGUC